rnacentral:rRNA from 1 species
GACGAACGCUGGCGGCGUGCCUAAUACAUGCAAGUAGAACGCUGAAGGAGGAGCUUGCUCUUCUGGAUGAGUUGCGAACGGGUGAGUAACGCGUAGGUAACCUGCCUGGUAGCGGGGGAUAACUAUUGGAAACGAUAGCUAAUACCGCAUAAGAGUAGAUGUUGCAUGACAUUUGCUUAAAAGGUGCAAUUGCAUCACUACCAGAUGGACCUGCGUUGUAUUAGCUAGUUGGUGGGGUAACGGCUCACCAAGGCGACGAUACAUAGCCGACCUGAGAGGGUGAUCGGCCACACUGGGACUGAGACACGGCCCAGACUCCUACGGGAGGCAGCAGUAGGGAAUCUUCGGCAAUGGACGGAAGUCUGACCGAGCAACGCCGCGUGAGUGAAGAAGGUUUUCGGAUCGUAAAGCUCUGUUGUAAGAGAAGAACGAGUGUGAGAGUGGAAAGUUCACACUGUGACGGUAU